rnacentral:rRNA from 1 species
GGGAGUGGCAAGCGUUAUCCGGAAUUAUUGGGCGUAAAGCGUCCGCAGGCGGCCCUUCAAGUCUGCUGUUAAAACGUGGAGCUCAACUCCAUCAUGGCAGUGGAAACUGAUUGGCUUGAGUAUGGUAGGGGCAGAGGGAAUUCCCGGUGUAGCNUGAAAUNCGUAGAUAUCGGGAAGAACCACCAGUNCGAAGGCGCUCUGCUGGGCCAUUACUGACGCUCAUGGACGAAAGCCA